AGGUAUAGCCAGCGAUCCGAUUUACGGCCAAUGUUUUAAUAUACCUGAUGAUAGACCUUGAUUAGUGCUCUCUAGUGGUGGUCUUGGAUUUUCAGUGCCUUGCUUGGUUCUCUAGAUAUGAAGGCCGAAAGUAGCUGGGCGUGGUCUGGUGAGUGGGUAAAGGGUGCUAGGUAUGAAAGUGGCUUAAUGGGGGUCAGAGGUCAGUUUGGAAAAGGGUUGGGCUUGCAAAUGAGAAUCCGGAUGACGACAUGUCUGGGUCAGAGGUCAGAUGGGCUGGGCAUCCGGAUGACGUAGUACUGGAGUUCAGAGGUCAGCGAGAUAAAACGGGUCAGAGGUCAGCUCAGAAAAAAGGGGCUGGGCUCUGUGCUUUAUAUAGAAAUACAAAUAAUUUUUUAUACAAAUAAGUACGGCCUAGGGUCCAGGUAGCUAGCUACUAUACUAUACCUUAGGGCAGUGCUAAAUAGACAAAGACAGCACUCUACAGAGUAUCACAGACAACCCCUGAGGGCAGAGCAGUGUCUCCACCAUUGUCUGCUGGGCUGGCUACUCAUUCAUUUGUGAUACCCAAAGGCGGUGGUCUGAGGAUUGUGAUUGGGAUGGACCUCAUCUCUUUAUUGAGAAGAACCUCAAUGGAAUGGCUGCUGCCCAAGACAUCUCCUCUUUGGAGUAGGGGGCGAGUCGGACUCUUGUAGCCUGUCCUGUUCAGAGUAGUCUUCAAGUUCCUGUAUACAGGUGGGUUAAAUUCCUUAGCAUACCGUAUAGCGGGUAAUUUUCGGGGGACAAAAUAUUCGUGGUUCAGCAAUAUUGAGACAUUUCGUGGGUAAUAUUUUCGUGGUUGGAGCUUGCACUGCAGGUAAAGGUAGGCAAGGUCGCUUCAUUCGUGGGUAAAAUAUUCGUGGUCAGACCUACAACCACGAAAACCACGAAUAUUUUGCCCCACGAAAAUUAUACGCUAUACGGUAUAUCCGGUUUCUGAGCAUUAUAUGUAGUUGCCGUGUAUACAAUACAUACUUGUUGUUUUCAAAUGCGGUUCACCAAAUGCAGUUUCCACUCUAUAUAUCACAAAGUACAUACAGCAAGGGUGUACAAACCUCUGAGUCCUUUGUUGGGGUGAGAGGCGAGUCUUCCAUGCUGGACAUCGCAGAGUUCUCUUUGCACCUGGAAUAUCUUGCUCUGUGAGAUCAACUUGCUGAGUUUGGUGAGAUGAAUAGUGCUGUUUGUGUACUGUGUAGCCUUUAUAUGCAACUAACCAAUGAUGUAACUACAAUCUAAAAAUAAUACUUGGUGUGGUGGUUUGUGGUUUUUUCAGCUGAGCUACCUGGUCACUUUGUGGUUAGGGUCACUUUGCUGACCAUCAGCACACAGAAAUGGUGUGUGGUUUUUUUCAAGCUGAGUUGUCACUUUGUGGUCAUGACCAGCACAGAGGAAAAACCCUAGGCACAAUUUUUAGGUUGUCACAAGUUAUGAAAAAUAAGGUAAGUGAGAUGAUUAUAUCUAUCCAUGAUUGCAUGUUGUGAUGUUGUGAUGAUUGUUGUAUAUACAGUAGAACCUCGAUUAUCCGGCCCUCCAUUAUCCGGAACCUCGAUUAUCCGGCUUGGCAGUUUUCUUUUUAUCAGAUUAAAUAAUUCAGAAAAUGGGCGUGUCCCUAAAAUGCGCAUGCGCGUUGCAGCUGUUACCAUGGAGACAUGCCUGCUUAUCUUCUGCGCAUGCGCAGACAACCAUGUGGCACUGCUGUUUAUCAAUAAAGUGGGUGGAUCAAGGCGUGGUUUAUCUAUUCGAUUAUCCGGCAUAUUCACUUAUCCGGCCUGCUUCUGGAACCAAGGUGUCCGGAUAAUCGAGGUUCUACUGUACAUACAAAUUGUGUCAGCUAGAUCUGUCUUGUUCCCUGCCAGGUGUAAAAUUGUGAUUGUGAUUGUGUACCUGCGUACUUACAGAUCAGACAAACACACAAGAGGACUCUCAAGCUGAAGAGCUGUUCCGCAGACUGGAGAAGCACCCUGUCUUGCUCAAAGAGCUGCCGAGACAUCUCAUUCUGAGGGCACCCGCCUUAGACACGACUGACGGCUAGCCACAGGGAUCACUCGAUUAUGCAGGAGACGAUAUUGGGACCACCCCUACGUGCAAGGCUCUGUGAUUAGUCAUAAUGAAGGCUAAUGAAGAUUGAGGAGCGUCUCAUCAAGUCUCCACCUGUCCAUUACUGCGUGGACAGUGCUUGUGUGGGGUCUCGUCAGAAGGGAGCGGGGUCGACACCUCUAUGGACACCACACCCUCUAACGCCCCCACCACUAUCAAACUAGGGGGCACUCCACAACUUGAGCUACACCCAAUACCCUCGUGAAACCCCUCCCCCUUUUCAAGUAAUGGUCAGAGUGUGCAGGGGAUCCCUCCUUGAUGUUUUCGGCAGUCACAAAGUACUCUCGGAUCUGCAGGACUACACCUACCUAUAUCAGGACAUGACGAGGUUGGUACCCAACUGUAGCGUACACCCUCGGCUACCCGCCAAAUAACGUUUCGGGGUGCUCAAAACUUGUAAGUGCCGAAACAAGGCAAGGGCCCGGUUAAAGAAACCCAUACACGUUUGGGCGAGGGGGGCGCGCCGGAGCACGGGAGAAAACUUGCGCUUUAGGGCAUGCCUCGAUUUUGGCAACUUUAUAUUUUCGAUAGCCGCAGUGCACGGCACCCAUUAAUGAGUCGAUGGCAGGUUAAGUAUUAGAAUAUUUUGCUGGUGAAAAACCUUUGCGAAUGUGCAUGGCAUUUCUUCUAAAAUUAUGGAUCAGCACGAGGAUCCCGGCUCAAUAGCUUGAAAUUCACCAAACCUAGUGGUUUUACUGUACAUAGGCUACUAUGGAGAGCAGUCUUGUGUUAGUUAUAGUUGCUGUCUCCAUUAACGGCUUACAAUAUUCGAGUUCACUUGAGCUUGCUAGAGAGCACAACAGUAGAUCUACACAGGCACUGUAUUCGUAGAUUUCAUUGGAAAGGUGAUUCUGAGAGCUACUGCAUCAAUAUUAUUAGUUUAGGAAUUGAACAUGCUCUCAAAAAUGCUACUAAAUAAUAGUUAGUAUUUCCAUAAUUCAAAAACAUGUACCUGUACAUGAAACAAUUUUAUACAUGGCUUAUGGCAUAAUAAGGCAAUCUAUAUUCAUGUUAGGUAGACCACAACAUUCCAAUUAGACACAUGCAUGCAGCCACAGCCUGUUGGACCAUAACUACAUGUACACUUAGUCCAUUUGCCUAUUGCCAUGACCACUUUCCAAUCAAAAUUAAAUUACACUGGAUUCAAGUAAUUAUUUAUUAGUUCUAGAAACCGCUAAUAGUGUGAGCAAAGUACAUUUACUGAGUGCGCGUGCAGUCCACUGAUGAGUCCCGGCACAAUAAACAUUAGGGACGAAAAGGUCUUGUAUUCGACCUUCUGGGCUAUACCAAUCCGUUACUGUAAGUGUAUGGCUUUUUGUCGCACUUUUCUGCAGCUCAAGCACACCUGUCCAGCAACAUUUUCUCCAUACAACGCCUUCUCAUGGAUCUGACCAAUGAGGUUGCGUAACACCAGGUGGAGGUAGCAAGAGUAUGGCCGCCCAGAUUGAGAAUGACGGCGUGGCAGGAUAUCAAUACUGGAGACUGCUGCCAGAAAAAAGUGGUUGACUCCUUCGGAAAGUUCAGACUGAGUUCAUUGUAGACAGUGAGGAGUGUGCACAGGGCCAGAGACACGGGAGCAAGCCUGGCAUCUUUCUCCAGUUUGAUGGCCACUGGGACCCAUCGCCAGCAUCAGCUCUUACCGGACAGCUGGGCAAACGUGAUGUACAGUUUGGAUUCAUUGAGAAUGACGCUAUUUUGAUGUGAGGAACUGAACUGGCAGUAUUUAAACAGUUACAGUCAAGAGAUGUGAGUCGUCGUGGUGAUGUGUAUUCUGAUCUAAAUAGCAGCUGUUGUAUAUGCCCCCCGCUCCAUUAGACUAUAACUUUCACUUUCAGCAUUAACACACACACACACACAAACGGACUACCGUAUACCUCGCUUGCGCAUGCGCACCGAGAGCAUAAUUAUUCUCGGCCACAGCAAUUAUGUCUACAUGCAGUCACAUGGUAUUCCUCUGAUCUGUUGCCUAGGACCAUCGAGAGGCCUCUCUUCCAAUCGAACGCUACCAAGGUCACACACAGGAGGUGUGCAGGCUCAGAUGGUCACCUGACGGUCAGCUCUUAUAGCCUCAGGUGGAGAUGACAACUAUGAUGUUUUCAGAGUACGAAGCUUGCAUGUACAUGUACGUGUACUUUAGAUCGAGUCAUCCAAUGCAAAUGUUCCUACACAAAGAUGCAUGCCUCUCAAUCAGGCAAAUAAGCAAAUAAGCAAAUAAAACCUCUCUAUAGAAAACCCGUUUUCAGGUGCACCUGCACAGCAUGUAUAUCUCCCACUCACUUUUGGUCGCAUCGUUUAUAAUAGGGUCACAGGCCAAUGUUACGAGCUGUUGUAUACGCUGUGCCCUCCCCCCUGUGCUCAAUUAGACACUAACGUACUUUUUGUUAAACCAUAGAUACAGGAAGAGAGGGAUUGGUAACAAAAGCGCCUCGAAUAGCCAUCCGUGUUUCCCUGCGGUUUAAUUGAAGCCGCCUACUUUCAACGUUGGGAAAAAUGGCCAGACACAAAAUAAGAGACAAACGAUUGUUUUACUGUCAGUAUAAGAAUUUUGCUGCUUGACUUUCAGUUCAAUGCAGUGCUUUAGGCCAUAUGCUACACAGUACACUACUUAGUUAGGCAGCUCUAGCUAUAUUAUAGUAGCAGGAGGUACAUAGUGUCGCAUGUACCUCUAGCUACUUCACAACAAUCGAAAUUAUGUUUUUGUCAUCUCUAAAUGAUGCCUACAAGCAAGGGGCAUCGAAUAGAAGGGCUUGGAAAGGUUCGUAAAGGUUGUUCUACCGCAUUGGGGAGGGAAACACGGAUGGCUUGUCAAGCUCUGUAUUGAUUUCAUGUAAUUUUAUAUGUGGCUUAUGGGCGCACGUGAUCCGUUGCCAAUCCCUCUCUUCCUGUAUCUAUGGUUAAACAAGCUGUUGCAUACGCUGUACCCCCCCCCCCCCUGUGUUCCAUUAGACUAUUAUAAUAACGUACUUUUUGUAUGUUGUAUACGCUGUGCCCCCCCCCCGUGUUUCGUUAGACUUUUAUGUGUUGUAUACGCUCUGCCCCCCCUGUGUUCCAUUAUAGUGUUAUAAUAAUGUAUGAUCGACCCUUCAGAGAUAGGACCUCCGUCUCACAUAGCGUUUAUUGUCUAGUGGGUCUUUACCGGCUGUUUUGGCUCAUUGUGACUGUUACUUAUCCAUUCUAAAGUCUUUACCCACUAAUCGAGGCACGCGUGUCGUAUACCUCCUCUGCUCUUGAACUGUGACAUACAUUCGAGAAUAAUGGUAUAACAAGUGCAAAAAACAUUUUUGGGAGAGUAGGGCAUGUGCUCUUGAACUGUGACAUACAUUCGAGAAUAAUAGGUAUAACAAGUGCAAAAAACAAAAAUGGGGAAGAGUUAUUGGACAGAGUUCAGGUAACAAUAGAGAUCACAGAAAGACGCACAAACAUGAGUGAAAUAAGCUUCAUCACAGGGACUUAUAUGCAGGAAGCGGCUUGUUUGCCAAGGUGGUUUGAACACCAAUACUUGCUGGGGAAAUCUGCACUUUAUUGUGUCCACAUCAUCAUGCUACAUGUAGGUGGUUCCACCCAAUUUCAUAGCUCCGUGGAGGGUCACAGCGAUCCCUACUCAACUGGUAGUCAGUGACCGCCUACGACGUUAGUAUUUAGCUUUUUUUCACAGCAAUAUUUUCUUUUUUGCAGCUCUAGUGAGUUUCUCUAUAGCAACACUUUCAUUUUGAAAAUUUUCAUUUUGGAUCUAAUUACCAACCAGGAAUUUGGCUGCCCGAUUCACUCACAUUGAGAACGACAGAGAUCAAGAGACAAGACUCGAUCAGAAUAAGUCAACGUGUUAUACGGUACCCUCUUCGAUGUGGGUCAUUCGUUUCUCACGUUUAAUUCUUAAGUUUCACCCCAAAAGCACUCUAUGUGUAACUAUACACGACAAUGUAUAGUGUACGUCCCAAAGUUAGCUACUUGCUUGCACCAUAAUCAUCAAGGUGAGGUGUAUUGGCAUUGGCCUACAGUAUUGCCCAGCAGUGACAGUUAUUGUAGCCUUUAAGGAAUGGAUGCAUGUAAAGUACUUAGUAUACGUACAAUUAAUCCUUAAUUCGAACCGUUGCCAAUAAUUAUCAUAAACAACAUUAGAUUGCAAUCAUUAAUCUUUGUAUGUACACAUGUACAUUAUUAUUGUCUUUGUGCAAAAGCACAAGAUAUACUGUGACAUGCAGCCUAUAAGCACAUGUGUCAUAUACACACACACAGCACAUACACCACUCCAGGUAUGGCAAAGACCAACUCGUUGUUUUGGGACGAUUGUACAUAUUGCUAGGUUGUACAAAGACGUUAUCUCCUCCGCAGUGGGAGCCUAGGGUUUGGGAUCACCAAGCACCUCCAGUGACUGUCAGCGGAUUGCUGUAAAAGUGUGUUGUGAUUCGUGUCCCAACGACAGUGCUGGCUGCUUGACAGAAGUGAUUGACCAAUGGAUGAAGGGUUGGUCUGGACGACCAACAUGGAGUGAGCUGGCCAAUCUCGUCUCAGUAACAUAGGAGAGAAGCAAGUACAUGUAGCAAAGGAACUUGUGACCAGCUACGAGUCUGGUGAGUAUACAGUGAUAAUAGUUGUGUUAGGUUGUACAAUCAACCCUUUAUCAGAGCUACGUAGGACUCGUGUGUCGCUUAAUGUUUAUUGUCUAGUGGGUCUUUACCGUCUGUUUUGGCUCAGUGUGACUGCUGCUUUUACCCAAGUGCUCUAAAGUAUUACCAAAUGUACCCACUCUGAGUAGAGAGGAUGUGUUUAUUGGUUGACUGAUGCUUCCAUUUACAGCCCCUUUGUAUACUUUAUUGCUUCUUGAUGUUUACCACUUCUAGCAGUUAGAAUAAAGUUCCCAUUCUGUUUACGUGUAGGGGCAUGUGGCAGGGGUGCACGACUCUAGGAGGAUCUUCUGAGAGGAGAGUGUGUUAUAUAAAAUAUCUCCUUAGGCAGUUCCAGCAGUGGAUUGCAGCUACAUCUGUUAUAGAGUGUACACAGACCAGUGAGGAGGACCUUGCACCUCAAGCACACCAGUGAGUUUCUCCAUAGAAUCAGAUUGCUCGUAGCACCAGUCGUAUGCUGAUGGAGGUGGCAAGAGAAUCUCAAGAAAAUGGCUGCCCAGGUCACCCAGAUUGAGAACGACAAAGAUCGAGAGAAGACUCACCGAUAAGAGAGAGUACAUGUAAGUCAAUAUACAGUACCCCCUUAGAUUAUAGGCACGUAGUUCACAUUUAAAGGUCGUCAGUUGAAUCCGAAGGUCGGGUGGAGAUGCUGGCGUGAUAAUAUCGGUUUACGCGGGCACAGUCUUUGUGGCUUAACCUGUUGACCCAUACUUGCAUUUUUUUGUCAUCUUGUUGUGGGGGCUGGCUAUGCGUUUAGGCCACUCUUUUUAUUUGUUGAACACACAAUCAGCAUGAGCUUGCCGUCACACAAACACGAAGUUUAACCCCACUCUCUUUUGAGUAGCCCCACAAAAUUAGCGCCACUGUUUUUAGCUUGUCGCCACACAAAUACAAAGUUUAGCCCCCCUACUCUUAGCAUACUUUUAGAACAAAUAGUAUGCCAUACAAUGGAGGAUUUCAAGUUGGUGGCAGAAGUUAAAAGUUGAAGUGCACUCAGCCAUGACCCCUCCCCCCCACACACACACAUGUACACACACACCGUGCACUGUGCACAGGAGGAUAGUCAGGGUCAAUUAAAAGGAUUCCUGAUAACUUAUUUGCAUUCCGCUCUUUCUUUCUUACCUCUAACCACUAGCGAGGGGGUUGGAGAUAAUUAAGUCCGCUGGAAGCAGAUUUGAAUUGACCUUAAAUAUCCUCAUUUGCGCGCACACACACACACACACACACACACUACUGACAAACAUUUGGUUCAUAUUAGCUCAGCCAACAAGUCACAAGUAAGUAUCCUUUGUCUUCGACUUAAUUCGUGGAUUUGCAAAAUAAUGUUCACAGUUUUGCUUACUUGGAAUGUCAUUGCAGCCUUUUCAGAAGAGCACGUUUGUUUACGGAGUGUCAAUUGGUUGAUCAUUACCCAUUCUUUGAGUUUGCAUGUGCAGUAAAAUGUAUGUUCGUCAUGUAAAUUUAAAAAAGCUAUUAGUUGCUUUAUGUUAUAUGUACGUAGCUUUGGCAUCUCCACCGAGGCAUCAGCACCUGAGGUGCUAAGUAUACUUAGACAGAGGAGGUUGGCCACGCGUCAUCAAUUUUGUGACGUAUGUGAUGUCUCUGCUCAAGUUACCAUGGAUACCGAGCAACUGUAAAAAGAAUGUAUGGCUACUGUUACUUUGCUAGCUUAUAACUGUUGUCUAGUUGGACCAGGAUUAGCUAGACUAUAGGGUAGAGUAUAGCUCAGCGGUGCUGCAUGUAGCUUGUACUGUACUGGCUGACAAGAAUCUGGUAAACACUAUAUGCACUGAUAACUCGCCAGAAUAGAGGGGAUCGCUGGGGAUCGGGUUGGUUAAUGAUAGCCAGAGAGAUACAUAAAUGUUGCUUUCAGUCUCCAAUGACCGUGCAACACCAGCUAGAAGUUUACAUGGAAAACCCUUGUCAAUUUCUAUGCCAGCUCAGCAAAAAAAGUGGUGCACGUGAUCGUGUCCAACCUCCUCUGAUGCUUAGAUCAUGUUUGUCAUAAAUACUGCAAUUUGAUUGGCUAAAGGAAUUAAGUGUUCUAUCCAACUUAGAAAAUCAUGUAUAUACUUCACUUAGAAAAUCAUGUAGAGAUAAGAACAUUCAAAUCUGAUUGGCUAAAUACCCAUGGUUGCUAUGAUCUAAAAUGCUUAGACACUGUUUAGGAAGUUUCCACGUGAUUUAGAAGUCCUCAGGGCACUGCGUUCGAGAUACUACGACCAGCCCUUUGGGCUUCUAAAUCAUGCAGAAACUUCCUAAACAGUAUCUAACUAUUGCAUAAUCAUACCAUGCAACUGCACUGUGCUGAUGAGGCCCAAUAAGGC